UACGUAGGGUGCAAGCGUUGUCCGGAAUUAUUGGGCGUAAAGAGCUCGUAGGCGGUCUGUCGCGUCUGCUGUGAAAACUCAGGGCUUAACCCUGAGCUUGCAGUGGGUACGGGCAGACUAGAGUGCGGUAGGGGAGACUGGAAUUCCUGGUGUAGCGGUGAAAUGCGCAGAUAUCAGGAGGAACACCGGUGGCGAAGGCGGGUCUCUGGGCCGAUACUGACGCUGGAGGAGC
rnacentral:rRNA from 1 species